GACGAACGCUGGCGGCGUGCUUAACACAUGCAAGUCGUACGGUAAGGCCCUUUCGGGGGUACACGAGUGACGAACGGGUGAGUAACACGUGAGUAACCUGCCCACAACUUUGGGAUAACGCUAGGAAACUGGUGCUAAUACUGGAUAUGUGCUCCUGCUGCAUGGUGGGGGUUGGAAAGCUCCGGCGGUUGUGGAUGGACUCGCGGCCUAUCAGCUUGUUGGUGGGGUAGUGGCCUACCAAGGCGGCGACGGGUAGCCGGCCUGAGAGGGUGACCGGCCACAUUGAGACUGGGAUACAGCCCAGACUCCUACGGGAGGCAGCAGUGGGGGAUAUUGCACAAUGGGCGCAAGCCUGAUGCAGCAACGCCGCGUGCGGGAUGACGGCCUUCGGGUUGUAAUCCGCUUUCAGCAGGGACGAAGCUUUUUGUGACGGUACCUGCAGAAGAAGCACCGGCUAACUACGUG
rnacentral:rRNA from 1 species